CACAGCAAAAUCACCAGUGUUAAAUUUUCAGGGAUGGUGUUAAAUACACAGUGUUGAUGCUGUUUUAACACUAUCUGGUAAUAAAAUAACACUGCCAUUGCUAGGCCAGUGUUAUAUCCACGACAGUGUCAGUGUAAAACAAGGGUGUUACCAGAUUUCACACUGAGCUGUGUAAAUCAAGCCACGCCUCCACUAAACAUUUCCUGUCAGGGAUUUUACCGCCAUUUUCUUUCAAAGGAGGACUGAAGAGAGCAGGUAAAUCUCAUAAUAUUCACAUGGUUUAGCUAAAUUAAACUGUUAUUUCUCUGUCUGACUCUACGCAGCCAUUUGCCAAAAAACCUAAAUAAGAUAUUUUUCCCAUUUUAUUUCCCCUUUGUUCGUUAUUUGGUUCAGUUUAAUCAGAGCUACCUUGUGUUACGUUGUUCCCUUGUUAGUUUGGUAUAAAGUUAAACUGCUAGCUAAAAGUUUUAACCAAGAAGGAUAAUAUUAACAGGAGACAUGAAUGAAUGUAAGAAUUGAACCAUGAUAAAACGCGACAUGCACUACAAAUUGAAGGUAUGAAAUUAAGUUAAAUGAAAGCUCGUUUAUUCACCACAUGAUGCUCGUUAUGAGGUAAUCAUAUAGGCUAGAUACCGUGAGUUAACGAGGUCGUUUACAUGCACGUGAGUGCACGGAUAUCGGUUAAUUAUUCAAAUUACUGAAAAACACGGAGGAAACCGCAACCGCAUCGUCAUGUGUUUUUUUUUUUAGAUGUAUGCAAACAGGGAAAAUAUCGCCAAACCAACAAUUAAUUUUACCUCAGAAUAUGCACAGAUUGGAUGCAUUGUGUGUUGUAAGCUUUUCGUGGCGCUAGAUGUCAGACAGAUGCAAAUAGCAAAUACAUACGAAAGUGUAAAACGUGUAUGGCGAACAUUUGUUUUUCUGUCAUUAUAGAUGCUAGUUUGGUGAAAGUACACACUGAGUGCUUAAAAUCAUUCAGAAGAGAUGCUGUUUUUAGGGCAGUUUAUUAAAGAAGACCUGACAUGGAUGACUUCCAAUGAGAAACGACUGCUAAUACUUAUAUAAAUUCAUUACAGAAGGACCCUACCAGACUAUAUUUGAAUACGGCAUACCCAUGAAUUCUGGAACUGUUAUUCCUUAACCCAGUUUGGAGGAUAAGAGCUUACCAACUAUAAAUAUGCUGAGGUGAUGUAUUGCAAAAUAGCCAACAUACAACAAUUAAAGGAUAAUUGCAGCCUAUAUCCUGAUGAAGAUAUGGAUGACCCUCUGUCUGGUCAACAAUAGUUUAAAUAUGGAUGGGACAGUGAUGUGGCAGCUCUUCCCUGGCUCAUUCACCUCUUGCCUUCAUUUGUGAAAGGAAGAAAGACUGGAGAGGGUCAAUGUGCAACUGAAGCUACUGAUUGUGCUGUGUGAUGAGCAUCAAUCCAUGCUUUGAGGUGGAUGGAUCAGCACAGCCCUGCCUGCUCUGCGUUGGGAACAGAAGUUGCAUCCAGAAUUUUUGCAUCAUUCUGGACCAAAAAGCCAUUCCCUGCAUGAUGAAGACCACUGAUGCAGCCUUCCACUACUGUACAGUAAAACAACUACAGAACUAAAUACCAGGUUGGAACGUGUUUAAGAAAAAUGAAACGUCUUUUGAAUUGAAAUGUCUGUUUUGUUAUGGAAAAAUCUUUAGUAUUGUGAAGGAUAAGCAUUUCUGCUUGCCGAUAAGGUAAUUGCAUGUAU